UACGGGGGGGGCAAGCGUUGUUCGGAAUUACUGGGCGUAAAGGGCUUGUAGGUGGCCAACUAAGUCAGACGUGAAAUCCCUCGGCUUAACCGGGGAACUGCGUCUGAUACUGGAUGGCUUGAGUGUGGGAGAGGGAUGCGGAAUUCCAGGUGUAGCGGUGAAAUGCGUAGAUAUCUGGAGGAACACCGGUGGCGAAGGCGGCAUCCUGGACCAUUACUGACACUGAGGAGCGAAAGCGUGGGGAGCGAACGAGGA
rnacentral:rRNA from 1 species